rnacentral:tRNA from 1 species
UAUAUCGUGGUCAUGCAGGACGCACGCGGACGUGGCGCGUCCGGCGGUACGUUCGACCUGUUCCGGUAUGA